GAUGAAGAACGCAGCGAAAUGCGAUAAGUAAUGUGAAUUGCAGAAUUCAGUGAAUCAUCGAAUCUUUGAACGCACAUUGCGCCCGCCAGUAUUCUGGCGGGCAUGCCUGUUCGAGCGUCAUUUCAACCAUCAAGCCCCAGGCUGGUGUUGGGGACCUGCGGCUGCCGCAGGCCCUGAAAACCAGUGGCGGGCUCGCUGUCACACCGGGCGUAGUAGAUUUUAUCUCGCUCAGGGCGUGCUGCGGGUUCCGGCCGUUAAAAAGCCUUUUUUACCCAAGGUUGACCUCGGAUCAGGUAGGAAGACCCGCUGAACUUAAGCAUAUCAAUAAGCGGAGGA
rnacentral:misc_RNA from 1 species